CCCCUCUCAGGGUCACACCUGAAGAGUUUCCAGUACUCUACCAGUCUCGACUAUGAGAAGGAGAGUCAAGCAGAGGCAUACCCAUUCCAUUCCUAGCUUGGCCAGUGUCUAGAGAGUGGCAGGCAUUCUGCUACAAGU